rnacentral:rRNA from 1 species
UACGGGGGGGGCAAGCGUUGUUCGGAUUUACUGGGCGUAAAGGGCGCGUAGGCGGUCGUGACAAGUCACUUGUGAAAUCUCCGGGCUUAACUCGGAACGGUCAAGUGAUACUGUCGGACUAGAGUACAGAAGGGGCAACUGGAAUUCUCGGUGUAGCGGUGAAAUGCGUAGAUAUCGAGAGGAACACCUGCGGCGAAGGCGGGUUGCUGGGCUGAUACUGACGCUAAGGCGCGAAAGCCAGGGGAGCGAACGGG